UCCAUCCACAGUAUUUUGUGUUUCAAAACUGGAGGAAAAAUAGCGCGCUCUGCGGCUGACGGAUGUAAACAAUGAAGUCGAGCACUUAAAACAAAUUUUAUCUAUAAAAAUAAAAUUUAGAUUUAAAUAUUUCUCUUAGUCAAUUUUACGCUUUAAAUAAGGAAAGUAAAUUUCAUCAUAUUUGAGUAUUUUUGAUGAUUUAAAACAAAUAAGAACAUUUAAAAAUAUAGUUCUUGAUUUGAUUAUGCUUGGCCAAUAGGACGACGGGAAUGUUUCGCGCGGAAACUCGGAAUUAUCGUCUGACUAGAAAUUUGUUUGCACGAGGGCUUUGUGUCUUUAAUUUUCGUUUGUACGAGGUUCUUUGUGUCUUUAGUUUUCGUUUGCGCGAGGCUAACUAAGUCAGUGAAUCGUUAUGAGGAUAAUAAUUCAACGGGAAAUGUGCAAUGAUCUGAACUGACUGAAUAGAGGGAAAUCGCUAACGAAAACAGACGCCAUUUUUUUGUUGUUGUUCUAACUUGUUUUUGUUUUGGUUUGUUCUAACUUGUUUUUUCUUUUCUUUUCUUUUCUUUGCUUGUUCCUAUUAGCUUGUUAUAUUUGUUUGUGUUUCUCUGUUUUAAUUGUUCGUUUUUUUUUCACUCUUUAUCAACCUUUCCUUGUACUUACGUUUUUUACUUGUCUUUCAUUUGUUUCGUGUUUUUUUGUUGUUAGUUUUGGUUAUUCCAUUGUGUAUAUUAGCUGAUUUAGCUUCCGUUUAUGUUUACACUAGUCACCCCUUGGAGAGAGUAAUUUUCUGUUUAGAAAUUCAUUUUCUUAUGUUUACGAUGUAAUUGCUAUAUAAUAUUUUCUGUUUGUUUUAUGUGUGUCAAUGUAAAGUGCAUGUAUGUAAUACAAGCGUUAUGAUAUAAAAUAAUGAAAUGAUCAAUGUAUUGUAACGCAAUCCAUCGUUACGUGGUAUUUAGGUAUUAAUUAUGAGACAAUAUAAUUGACCUUUGACCUUUGACCUAUGAUCUUAGCUACACCAUUUGAGGAUUCGAGGUCAACAGACUUUUUUCUGCUAUAGUACAUAUAUUGACUAAAUCAAUAUGAAAUUCAUAUAGUGUAUAUCUAUUGACACUAACAAAGAUAUAGAUUCUUUUUAAAGGAUAUUAAUACCAAAUUACUUGAUUAUAAGCAAAGAAAACGAAGUUUUUUUUUCCAUUUACGGGGAGACUCUCCUAUUCAAAAGUGUUGGCUCCAAAAUAUCCAGGAAUGAUGGAUGAAUAUAUGAUUCUGAUGCUAUUUUGUGCUUUGUAUGAUUGAAGGAAUGUGUAUUACUAAAAAACAAUAACAACUUAUGUUCUGUG
rnacentral:lncRNA from 1 species